rnacentral:rRNA from 1 species
UAGUGGGCGAGGUAACGGCUCACCAAGGCAACGACGGGUAGCUGGUCUGAGAGGAUGGCCAGCCACAUUGGGACUGAGAUACGGCCCAGACUCCUACGGGAGGCAGCAGUGGGGAAUCUUGCGCAAUGGCCUAACGGCUGACGCAGCGACGCCGCGUGUGGGAUGAAGCUCCUCGGAGUGUAAACCACUGUUGCCCGGGACGAAUAGCUCGAUUAAUCGAGCCUGACGGUACCGGGUGAGGAAGCACCGGCUAACUCCGUGCCAGCAGCCGUGGUAAUACGGGGGGUGCGAGCGUUGUCCGGAAUCACUGGGCGUAAAGGGCGCGUAGGUGGUUUGAUAAGGGUGUGGUGAAAGUCCGGGGCUCAACCCCGGAUCUGCCGUGCCGACUGUCAAACUCGAGGGCUGUAGAGGCAGACGGAAUUCCGGGUGUAGCGGUGGAAUGCGUAGAGAUCCGGAGGAACACCGAAGGCGAAGGCAGUGUCCUGGCGAGUGACUGACGCUGAGGUGCGAAAGCUAGGGGAGCGAACGGGAUUAGAUACCCCGGUAGUCCUAGCCGUAAACGAUGACCACCAGGUGUGGGAGGUAUCGACCCCUUCCGUGCCGGAGUUAACACACUAAGUGGUCCGCCUGGGGAGUACGGUCGCAAGAUUAAAACUCAAAGGAAUUGACG